AUGACCUCACUUCCUUGGCGACCGACCCCAACAGAGCUUAGAACUCUGGUCACCAGGCAGCCAUUUUGUACACAUAGCCCAUUUGACCAGAGACACUCGACACAGGAGGAUGUGUUCUGUAUCCCCUCUUUGCGAGGCUCUGGCGCACAGAGAGCCAACAAUGACAGUCUUCUCCAGCGCUGUCGACACUGGCUGAGACCGCACCUCCAAGACCUCAGGCCAUUCGGAAGAAGGAACCCUCAGAGCUCCACCCAGGAGAUGGUCCAGGAGCUGGCGCAUGGGUCCUACGGCUCCAUCUCCCUGGACAGGGGGCAAGUGCAGCAGACCACCGACCUUGCCCGGGGCUGGACUGAGGGGAGACGCGGAGAGUCACUCGGGCAGCGGAAUGAGGCCUGCAGGAUGCGGGCCCUCCAGGCAGGCCUGCUGGAGAGGCUGCCGCCGUCCAUAGGACCAGCCUUGGCGCCUCGAAACAUGGCCAACGUCACCACCAUCGUGUUUGACUGCGCGGCUGUCCUCACCUCCCACGGGGUCCUGGACCACCUACUUGCUACAUCCUGUCCCCCGCCUGUCCCAGGGGAUGCCCUCCUAUGCUCCUUUACGACUGGAGGCCUCUUCCCACGUUCUCAUGCAUGAUGGACCCCAGCGCCAACUAAAGACCUGAGUGU
rnacentral:lncRNA from 1 species